UACGGAGGGUGCAAGCGUUAUCCGGAUUCACUGGGUUUAAAGGGUGCGUAGGCGGGCAGGUAAGUCAGUGGUGAAAUCUCCGAGCUUAACUCGGAAACUGCCAUUGAUACUAUUUGUCUUGAAUAUUGUGGAGGUAAGCGGAAUAUGUCAUGUAGCGGUGAAAUGCUUAGAUAUGUUAUAGAACACCGAUUGCGAAGGCAGCUAACUAAGCAUAUAUUGACGCUGAGGCACGAAAGCGUGGGGAUCAAACAGG
rnacentral:rRNA from 1 species